ACGAUCCUCGCCUGAGGCGGUGAGGGGAGACCGGGCGUCCCCUUCUGUCGCGUUGUGUCGCUACCAGUUUCAAGCCCGUCCAAGGGGUGCAGAUGGGUGUGUUGAGUGUGUAGUGUCGUCUGUCGUCUCCUCUUCUGACAAUCCUUCAUGAAGUUCAGCCCAGCAAUAAUAUGCGAUACGAGACUCGACGGACGACAUCCUCGCUCAAGAUGUGUAGCUGGAGGCAAACGGAACGGCGGCCGACAACGAACGGCAGUGGCGGCGGCACCACCAGCAGCGGCGGUGGCAACAGCAGCUUAUAUGGCCUUGGCAGCAGCAACGGUGCAGGAACUUUGAACGUGACGCUAACGCUGGCAACGAAAGCGGCACCGUGUAACAUGUCUCUCAACUUAACCAAGUGUCUGUCAUCUGAAUAUUGAAGUGAAUAUACCUACGUUGAAAUGAAA